UUUCUCCUACGGGGGGCAGCAGUGGGGGAUAUUGCACAAUGGGGGGAACCCUGAUGCAGCGACGCCGCGUGGGUGAAGAAGCGCCUCGGCGCGUAAAGCCCUGUCAACAGGGAAGAAAAUGACGGUACCUGAAGAAGAAGCUCCGGCUAACUACGUGCCAGCAGCCGCGGUAAUACGUAGGGAGCAAGCGUUAUCCGGAUUUACUGGGUGUAAAGGGCGUGUAGGCGGGCUUGUAAGUCAGAAGUGAAAUCUGGGGGCUUAGCGCCCAAACUGCUUUUGAAACUGCGGGUCUUGAGUGAUGGAGG
rnacentral:rRNA from 1 species